UACGUAGGGUGCAAGCGUUGUCCGGAAUUAUUGGGCGUAAAGAGCUCGUAGGCGGUUCGUCGCGUCGGCUGUGAAAUCCCGGAGCUCAACUCCGGGUCUGCAGUCGAUACGGGCAGACUUGAGUUCGGCAGGGGAGACUGGAAUUCCUGGUGUAGCGGUGAAAUGCGCAGAUAUCAGGAGGAACACCGGUGGCGAAGGCGGGUCUCUGGGCCGAUACUGACGCUGAGGAGCGAAAGCGUGGGGAGCGAACAGG
rnacentral:rRNA from 1 species